rnacentral:rRNA from 1 species
GAUGAACGCUGGCGGCGUGCCUAAUACAUGCAAGUCGAGCGAACAGACGAGGAGCUUGCUCCUCUGACGUUAGCGGCGGACGGGUGAGUAACACGUGUAUAACCUACCUAUAAGACUGGGAUAACUUCGGGAAACCGGAGCUAAUACCGGAUAAUAUAUUGAACCGCAUGGUUCAAUAGUGAAAGACGGUUUUGCUGUCACUUAUAGAUGGAUCCGCGCCGCAUUAGCUAGUUGGUAAGGUAACGGCCUACCAAGGCAACGAUGCGUAGCCGACCUGAGAGGGUGAUCGGCCACACUGGAGCUGAGACACGGUCCAGACUCCUACGGGAGGCAGCAGUAGGGAAUCUUCCGCAAUGGGCGAAAGCCUGACGGAGCAACGCCGCGUGAGUGAUGAAGGUCUUCGGAUCGUAAAACUCUGUUAUUAGGGAAGAACAAAUGUGUAAGUAACUAUGCACGUCUUGACGGUACCUAAUCAGAAAGCCACGGCUAACUACGUG